GAUGAACGCUGGCGGCGUGCCUAAUACAUGCAAGUCGAGCGAAUGGAUUAAGAGCUUGCUCUUAUGAAGUUAGCGGCGGACGGGUGAGUAACACGUGGGUAACCUGCCCAUAAGACUGGGAUAACUCCGGGAAACCGGGGCUAAUACCGGAUAACAUUUUGAACAGCAUGGUUCGAAAUUGAAAGGCGGCAUCGGCUGUUACUUAUGGAUGGACCCGCGUCGCAUUAGCUAGUUGGUGAGGUAACGGCUCACCAAGGCAACGAUGCGUAGCCGACCUGAGAGGGUGAUCGGCCACACUGGGACUGGGACACGGCCCGGACUCCUACGGGAGGCAGCAGUAGGGAAUCUUCCGCAAUGGACGAAAGUCUGACGGAGCAACGCCGCGUGAGUGAUGAAGGCUUUCGGGUCGUAAAACUCUGUUGUUAGGGAAGAACAAGUGCUAGUUGAAUAAGCUGGCCCUUGACGGUACCUAACCAGAAAGCCACGGCUAACUACGUGCCAGCCGCCGCUGUAA
rnacentral:rRNA from 1 species